rnacentral:rRNA from 1 species
CCUUUUAUUUAAUAACAACCCCUGCUCAAUGAAUAUAUUUUAAAUAGCCGCGCAAGCGCUAAGGUAGCAUAAUAAUUAGCCUCUUAAUUGGGGGCAAGAAUGAAGGGGGUCAUUAGAAAAAUAGAUUUAAACCAAUAGUUUGAAUUUUUAUCUUAUUGAAAAGAAUAAGAUGUUUCUUUAAGACGAUAAGACCCUAUGAAGCUUAACAGCACUAACGCAAUUAUAACAUAAUUAGCUGGAUUGUUUGGGGAAAAAUGUAAUAUUAAUAUUAAAUUAUCUAGGACUACAUAGAUCUUGUGUAAAAUAAUAGGAAAAAGCUACUCUAGGGAUAACAGCGUUAUAUUUAUUAAAGUCCUUAUUGAAAUAAAUUAUUGCGACCUCGAUGUUGAAUUAUGAAUCUUUGUAGCUGCAGACGGUUAUAAAGGUGAGUCUGUUCGACUCGUAUUUC